rnacentral:rRNA from 1 species
GAUGAACGCUAGCGGCAGGCCUAAUACAUGCAAGUCGAGGGAGAAUGUUGGAUUCGUCUGACAUGAAACCGGCGCACGGGUGCGUAACACGUAUGCAACCUACCUUUAACUGGGGUAUAGCUCAGAGAAAUCUGAAUUAAUCCCCCAUAAGACUACGACAUGGCAUCAUGACGUAGUUAAAGCUCCGGCGGCUAAGGAUGGGCAUGCGGUACAUUAGCUAGUUGGUGAGGUAAUGGCUCACCAAGGCUACGAUGUAUAGGGGGUCUGAGAGGAUGAUCCCCCACACUGGUACUGAGACACGGACCAGACUCCUACGGGAGGCAGCAGUAGGGAAUAUUGGUCAAUGGACGCAAGUCUGAACCAGCCAUGCCGCGUGAAGGAUGAAGGCCCUAUGGGUCGUAAACUUCUUUUAUUAGGGAAGAAAAAACGGGAUGCGUCCUGUACUGACGGUACUUAAUGAAUAAGGAUCGGCUAACUUCGUGCCAGCCGCCGCGGUAA